CCCCUAACCAGGAGACUGAAGCAGUCAGACUCAUAGCACCAGGACAGGUCAGUCUCUAGAUAACUUACUGCUCUCAGGUCUAGUCAGCCUCCAGAUAACUUACUGCUCUCAGGUCUAGUCAGCCUCUAGAUAACCUACUGCUGCCAUCCUCAGGUCUAGUCAGUCUCUAGAUAACCUACUGCUCUCAUCCUCAGGUCUAGUCAGCCUCUAGAUAACCUACUGCUCUCAUCCUCAGGUCUAGUCAGCCUCUAGAUAACCUACUGCCCUCGGGUCUAGUCAGCCUCUAGAUAACCUACUGCUCUCAGGUCUAGUCAGCCUCUAGAUAACCUACUGCUCUCAGGUCUAGUCAGCCCCUAGAUAACCUACUGAUCCCAUCCUCAGGUCUAGUCAGCCUCUAGAUAACCUACUGCUGCCAUCCUCAGGUCUAGUCAGCCUCUAGAUAACCUACUGCUCUCAGGUCUAGUCAGCCCCUAGAUAACCUACUGAUCCCAUCCUCAGGUCUAGUCAGCCUCUAGAUAACCUACUGCUGCCAUCCUCAGGUCUAGUCAGCCUCUAGAUAACCUACUGCUCUCAGGUCUAGUCAGCCCCUAGAUAACCUACUGAUCCCAUCCUCAGGUCUAGUCAGCCUCUAGAUAACCUACUGAUCCCAUCCUCAGGUCUAGUCAGCCUCUAGAUAACCUACUGCUCUCAUCCUCAGGUCUAGUCAGCCUCUAGAUAACCUACUGCUCUCAUCCUCAGGUCUAGUCAGUCUCUAGAUAACCUACUGCUCUCAGGUCUAGUCAGCCUCUAGAUAACCUACUGCUCUCAGGUCUAGUCAGCCUCUAGAUAACCUACUGCUCUCAGGUCUAGUCAGCCUCUAGAUAACCUACUGCUCUCAGGUCUAGUCAGCCUCUAGAUAACCUACUGCGCCCAUCCUCCGGUCUAGUCAGCCUCUAGAUAACCUACUGAGUGACUCUCUCUCUCUCUGUCUCUCGCUCUCUCUCUCAUGAAUUACAAGUUGGUCAGUCGAGCCUCUGCAUUUAUUUUCUCUCUGUCUUUGUUUCAUUCUGAGAGGGAAUUCAUUUAUUUUUGUCCAGAUCCCACAGAAUUAAAGCAGUUUCUCUCUUUCUCAUCUGAUAUCUGUCUCUGAGCGUUAAUGAGAUGCGUUCUUUGUCAUUAUAAUAGUCAUAAUAACGAUUUGGCUCAGGAUGGUUGAAUACUAUAAGUCUUUACUUCAGCUGUUAAUAUCAUAUGGAUCUGCAUUCAUUCAUCCCGAUUCUGGCUUUUAUCAACACUUGUGAAAACAAAAGCAGUGCUUUGAAAAUAUGUUUUUUAUUUUAUUUUUAUAGCCAACUAAUUGGCACAGCUUGGGAACCAGUGAGUCAGAGGAGAAGGUGGCAAAAUAACUGGUUGUAUUUAUACAUCUCUAUCUGGCUGUAAAAUACGUCAUCUCUGUUCACAUUUAACACACAUUUGAGCCAGAGUGGUGUCAGAAGGGUGGG